GGCUCCGCGCGCGCGGGCCAUGUCCGCCUUUUGCCUGGGCUUGGCUGGCCGCGCUUCAGCACCCGCCGAGCCGGACAGCGCCUGCUGCAUGGAGCUGCCCGCUGCGGCCGGGGACGCAGUCCGGAGUUCUGCCGCCGCCGCCGCUCUCGUCUCCUUCCCCGGGGGCCCGGAGGAACUGGAACUGGCGUUAGAGGAGGAGCUGGCGCUGCUGGCGGCCGGGGAGCGGUCGUCCGAUCCCGGGGAGCAUCCUCAGGCCGAGCCAGGGCCUGCAGCUGAGGGGGCCGGACGGCAGCCACCGCCCGCCCAGGACCCCGAGCUGUUGUCGGUGAUCCGGCAGAAGGAGAAGGAUCUGGUGUUGGCAGCCCGGCUGGGCAAGGCGCUGCUCGAGAGGAACCAGGACAUGAGCCGGCAGUACGAGCAGAUGCACAAGGAGCUGACAGAUAAGCUGGAGCACUUAGAACAAGAGAAACAUGAAUUGAGAAGACGAUUUGAGAACCGAGAAGGGGAGUGGGAAGGGCGAGUGUCAGAGCUGGAGAGUGAUGUGAAACAGCUACAAGAUGAGUUAGAGAGGCAGCAAGUUCAUCUGCGGGAAGCAGAUCGAGAAAAAACGCGUGCUGUCCAAGAACUAUCAGAACAGAACCAAAGGUUAUUGGAUCAACUCAGCAGGGCAUCAGAAGUGGAGAGACAACUCUCCAUGCAGGUCCACGCCCUCAGAGAAGACUUUCGUGAGAAAAACUCGUCAACCAACCAGCACAUCAUCAGGCUGGAGAGCCUUCAGGCUGAGCAGAUUCUCGAAAUCAAGAUGCUGUCAGAUCGGAAACGGGAGCUGGAGCAUCGUCUCAGUGCCACCUUAGAGGAAAAUGACCUGCUCCAAGGGACCGUGGAAGAGCUGCAGGACCGGGUGCUGAUCCUAGAAAGGCAGGGCCAUGACAAAGACCUACAGCUUCACCAAAGCCAGCUGGAGCUCCAGGAGGUGCGCCUCUCCUACCGGCAGUUGCAGGUGAAGGUGGAAGAACUCACUGAGGAGAGGAGUCUGCAGAGCUCUGCUGCCACCAGCACAUCCCUUCUGUCAGAGAUUGAGCAAAGCAUGGAGGCCGAGGAGCUAGAGCAAGAGAGAGAACAGCUGAGACUGCAGCUCUGGGAAGCCUAUUGCCAGGUUCGCUAUCUCUGCUCACACCUUCGAGGAAAUGACAGUGCCGACUCAGCCGUCUCCACAGACUCUUCAAUGGAUGAAUCUUCAGAAACCUCAUCUGCCAAGGAUGUGCCAGCUGGCAGCUUACGCACUGCCCUCAACGAGCUCAAGAGACUGAUACAGAGCAUUGUGGAUGGCAUGGAGCCCACGAGCUCCCGGAGACUUGAUGAUGACUCCUUAGAAGAACAGAUAAGGCAGACCAGUGAGGACUCAAGAGCCCUAAGGGAGCUCAUGGAGGGAGAGAGGGGUAAACUGAGGCAAAGCCUAGAAGAGCUGCAGCAACUCCACAGCCAGGUAACGCUGCUGAGUGUGGAGAUGACUGCACUCAAAGAAGAGAGAGACCGACUCAGAGUGACAUCUGAGGACAAGGAGCCAAAGGACAAAGAGCAGCUUCAGAAGGCCAUCAGGGACCGGGAUGAGGCCAUUGCAAAGAAAAAUGCUGUGGAGCUGGAACUUGCCAAGUGCAGGAUGGACAUGAUGUCUUUGAACAGCCAGCUGCUGGAUGCUAUUCAGCAAAAGCUGAACCUCUCCCAACAGCUGGAGGCUUGGCAGUUUGCUUCCUCAGGGCUUUUUACUAUCUGGCUCCUUUGGUUUCUGAUCUAGUGGCCUUUCUCAGUUCCCGUAUCAACAGCUUUAGUUGUACACCCCUCCUGCCUUUGAGGAUGACAUGCACAGGGUCAUUGACCGGCAGCUGAUGGACACGCACCUGAAGGAACGGAGCCAGCCGGCUGCUGCCUUCUCCAGGGGCCACAGUGCAGGGCGGGGGGAUGAGCCCAGCACCACUGAAGGCAAACGGCUCUUCUCGUUCUUCAGGAAAAUUUAAGUUGGGAGGAAUCAGGCCACCAGGGAUGGGUGGACUGGGGGAGGCUGAAAAGGUGGUGGGGCAAGGGCCUCCCUUGUGGCCUGGGACUUGGCAGUUGCACUGCCCCCAUGCUAGGUCCCAGUGGAUCUGGGAGAUGCACUCCUUUUGGCUGGUAGGGAUGGAGACCUCGAGGGUGGGGGCCUGCCUGGCCUCUGAAGGCUGCCCUCACCCCAGCUCCUGGUAGAGCCUUCCCCUGGAUCCUGUCACUGAGCAGGCCUCAGGCUGCUUCCCAAAGUAGCCCCUUGUUUGGGCUCUGCAGCUCAGACCCAGUGGACUGCAGCUCACCCUGUAGGUACUACUUGCCUCCUUGGUUUUAGAAAAUGGGGAACAGAAAAAAUGGAGGUCCUUCUCUGCAUGCCUCAGAAGGCCUGGGCCUUCGGGGCUUAUUCUGACGGGCAGUAGGCCCAGGGCCUAAGCCUCCUUCCUUUCCCAGCCUCAGCCCAGGGAGUAAGGGGAGGCAGCCCCUCACCCACGUGCAUGCAUAUCUGCUAGAGCACCUCUGUGGCCACAGAGCCUAAGAGCUGGGGCCCACCCCAAGCUUGGCCGAGGUCAUCCUGAUCCCCAGGGAGGAAGGAGGCCCUGUCACCUGGCUGCCACUGCUGUCCUUUCCAGCCUCUUUCAGUGCAGUCUUUGCCCCUUAGCAGAGCCCACGCCAGGCAGUGUGUUCUCACUCGUCCACUGCUGGCUUCAGCUAUCCAGCCCUUUCUCCUUCACAGGACCAGGGCUGAGAGGGGUCUCUUCUUCCUGUAGCCCCUACCCCUUACAUAUACAACUUCUUGGCCCAGCAAGCAAGUCCAGGCUACAUAAUGGCCCCAGAGGUGUCAGUGGUCAGCCAGCCCCCACCUUGAAGGCAGUAUUGGCACCACAGGAUGGAUGGAGGGGGGAGGCUACUGGAGCCUCCAGAUACUGCCCACUAGGCCUUCACCAGGACUAGGCCUGCCCCUGCUGCUGCUCCUCCCUAGGCAGCCACUCCCAUCUGCACCUAGGCCCCAGUAGAGGCUCCGAAGCUGCCCACAGCUGAUCCAGUCUCCCUCCCUCACCAUGGGAAAGCACAGCAGGGAUGAGCGGAAAGAAUGUACUUAUAGAUAUGUACAUAAUACAGUGCUGUAAUUUUGUAUGUAACAAUCAUGUAAAUACAUGUAUGGGUUUUAUAAUAUACUAUAUAUAAAUCUAUAAAGGCAUAUUUUUAGAAAAACAGCACACCACUGCUUCUUUUGAAAAUAGUCUGAAUAAGAAUAAAAUGAAUUUCUACACAG